rnacentral:rRNA from 1 species
GACGAACGCUGGCGGCGUGCUUAACACAUGCAAGUCGAACGGAAAGGCCCUGCUUUUGUGGGGUGCUCGAGUGGCGAACGGGUGAGUAACACGUGAGUAACCUGCCCUUGACUUUGGGAUAACUUCAGGAAACUGGGGCUAAUACCGGAUAGGAGCUCCUGCUGCAUGGUGGGGGUUGGAAAGUUUCGGCGGUUGGGGAUGGACUCGCGGCUUAUCAGCUUGUUGGUGGGGUAGUGGCUUACCAAGGCUUUGACGGGUAGCCGGCCUGAGAGGGUGACCGGCCACAUUGGGACUGAUAUACGGCCCAGACUCCUACGGGAGGCAGCAGUGGGGAAUAUUGCACAAUGGGCGGAAGCCUGAUGCAGCAACGCCGCGUGCGGGAUGACGGCCGUCGGGUUUUAAACCGCUUUCGCCUGUGACGAAGCGUGAGUGACGGUAAUGGGUAAAGAAGCACCGGCUAACUACGUG